rnacentral:rRNA from 1 species
ACGGACGAGAAGCUUGCUUCUCUGAUGUUAGCGGCGGACGGGUGAGUAACACGUGGAUAACCUACCUAUAAGACUGGGAUAACUUCGGGAAACCGGAGCUAAUACCGGAUAAUAUUUUGAACCGCAUGGUUCAAAAGUGAAAGACGGUCUUGCUGUCACUUAUAGAUGGAUCCGCGCUGCAUUAGCUAGUUGGUAAGGUAACGGCUUACCAAGGCAACGAUGCAUAGCCGACCUGAGAGGGUGAUCGGCCACACUGGAACUGAGACACGGUCCAGACUCCUACGGGAGGCAGCAGUAGGGAAUCUUCCGCAAUGGGCGAAAGCCUGACGGAGCAACGCCGCGUGAGUGAUGAAGGUCUUCGGAUCGUAAAACUCUGUUAUUAGGGAAGAACAUAUGUGUAAGUAACUGUGCACAUCUUGACGGUACCUAAUCAGAAAGCCACGGCUAACUACGUGCCAGCAGCCGCGGUAAUACGUAGGUGGCAAGCGUUAUCCGGAAUUAUUGGGCGUAAAGCGCGCGUAGGCGGUUUUUUAAGUCUGAUGUGAAAGCCCACGGCUCAACCGUGGAGGGUCAUUGGAAACUGGAAAACUUGAGUGCAGAAGAGGAAAGUGGAAUUCCAUGUGUAGCGGUGAAAUGCGCAGAGAUAUGGAGGAACACCAGUGGCGAAGGCGACUUUCUGGUCUGUAACUGACGCUGAUGUGCGAAAGCGUGGGGAUCAAACAGGAUUAGAUACCCUGGUAGUCCACGCCGUAAACGAUGAGUGCUAAGUGUUAGGGGGUUUCCGCCCCUUAGUGCUGCAGCUAACGCAUUAAGCACUCCGCCUGGGGAGUACGACCGCAAGGUUGAAACUCAAAGGAAUUGACGGGGACCCGCACAAGCGGUGGAGCAUGUGGUUUAAUUCGAAGCAACGCGAAGAACCUUACCAAAUCUUGACAUCCUUUGACAACUCUAGAGAUAGAGCCUUCCCCUUCGGGGGACAAAGUGACAGGUGGUGCAUGGUUGUCGUCAGCUCGUGUCGUGAGAUGUUGGGUUAAGUCCCGCAACGAGCGCAACCCUUAAGCUUAGUUGCCAUCAUUAAGUUGGGCACUCUAAGUUGACUGCCGGUGACAAACCGGAGGAAGGUGGGGAUGACGUCAAAUCAUCAUGCCCCUUAUGAUUUGGGCUACACACGUGCUACAAUGGACAAUACAAAGGGCAGCGAAACCGCGAGGUCAAGCAAAUCCCAUAAAGUUGUUCUCAGUUCGGAUUGUAGUCUGCAACUCGACUACAUGAAGCUGGAAUCGCUAGUAAUCGUAGAUCAGCAUGCUACGGUGAAUACGUUCCCGGGUCUUGUACACACCGCCCGUCACACCACGAGAGUUUGUAACACCCGAAGCCGGUGGAGUAACCUUUUAGGAGC